UAACAAUCAUUCAUUUUACUUUGUUUCCUUAAACUUUCCUUUACCCCAAACAAAGCCUUAGCUACAACAAUGACCUUGACUUGUGUUCUCUGAAAAAUACAACCAACAAAUUGAUGUGAGAUUAGCCAAAAAUGUGAUCUCUAACUCUAUGAUAGCCUCUACUAACAAAAGUCGAUGGAAAAGCCAUAGUCAUUUUAAUAAUGUUCUAAAAUUCCAAUGAUAUUCUUUCUAAUUUGCAAAUAUAAGUCAUUUUUUUAAUAAGUGUACAAACGAAAUAGU
rnacentral:lncRNA from 1 species